UCUUUAAAGUUUUGAUCUUUGAUUGGGUUUGUGAAUUGCAGUGGCCAAAGGGGUAAAAAGAAGAUUAGUUGAUUAUUUUUGAUGUUGAAGUGGAUUGAUUUAAAUGUCUAAAAUCAAUAUUUUUUUUAGUUUUAUGUGUGAAUAUAUGUAAAUCAAUCUGCUACAACUAAAAUCGAAUAAGUGGGUAACACUAAGAAGACGGUAUGACUAAAACAAUAAUUUUUUUUAAUUUAUUGUCCUAUCAUGUUAAGACAAUUCAGAAUCUUGUACCGGUAGUCUUUUUAUUAGGUGGAUAUAUGAGUUCAUUUUGUCAUUUUCAUUUCAUCAUCUUUGUUCUUUUUGUCAUAAAAUUAUUGAAGAGGUCGAUUUCUUAAUGGGUAAAUUAAGAAUAGUAGAAGGAGACUAUUAGAUAGUUUGAUUUGAUUAGGCUUUUUGUUGAAGUAGCGUUAAUAUAUGUUAUAGUGAUGAUUCCUGUUAACACCUAAUUUUGACCCUCCACGAUUUGAUUAAUUUUUAAGCUUCUUAAAUAUUGAACAAUGGGAAAUAAUUUUUUUUGAAAUUAAAAAAUACUAUAAAAUUAUCUUCCAAAACUUUUUUUCCCACUUUUUCAUAUGGAUUAUAUAUCUUUAUACUUAAAAUAUACAGAUUUAGAUAGUUUUUCUAUUUGAAUAAAUAGUUAGUAAAUUGAUUUACAAAAAAAUAAAGCUUCAAUUAACUAUGCAACUUAUUUUCUUUAAACAGACAAUUUAAUUAAGGUCUUUUCUUUUGAAAUAAUUAUUUUGAUGGUGUUGAGGUUAAGAAGCUUGAGUAAUUAGUUGACUUUCUAGUACAUCUCAAUUCCCUUUGAAACUCUCUUCAAGAACUUUAUUUAGUCCAUAAUUGGACCAUCAGAUAACCUUUAACCCAAAAUUUUGGCCCAAAUUCUUUAAACCCAUUUCACAUUAACAAAUCCAAGACCCAAUUCAGAUUUUGAAAAUUUCCAGAGUCCCACAUCGUUUUUCCCUUUAUUUUAACCCAGAGUUUGUCCUAUAUAAACCCCCUCACCCUUACUGUUUAGCGCAGGAGUUUUUGGAGGCGAGAAAUAGAACACCUCGCUAUGUUUUUGGGAGUUCUUAUUUUCGUCAUUGAAGUUUUGUUGAUUUGCGACUAUUUUGAGUCGGAGUGGGGUUGGAAUUCGUCAUGUCUAGGAUUGUGUUCCAGCGCUGCCUAGAACAAGAUAUAAGAAAUAUUGGAAUUGCAGCAUGGAGUGAUACCUUAACAAUCAUGUGCAUCUGAAGAACUGAAUAAACUCUUGAAUAAUAAGGGAGCUAAUUUCUCAAAAAGUUCCCUCUUCUGGAAAAAAAGGAAAACAAAGUCAAAUAGCUUAUUGCCUUUGUUUUGCUUUUCCAGAAGAAGGAACUUUUCGAGGAUUUGACCCCCUUAUGUUGGUACCUCAUUUGAUACUAUCACUUCGUGCCUACUGGCAUUUAGAAAGGUAUGCCAUUACAAAUGUAGAUUUUAUUCCUCUCAAUUACAAAUCAAUCGGGAAGUUGACAAUGAUAUUUUUAGAAUCUAACUGCAAGGGGGCUAUGAAAAGGUAGCAAAAAUGCUGUAACGUAACACCAUUAGUCUAAAGGAACUCUCUCAAUGCUUUAUUUUUACAUUUACUUUCCAAGCUUCUUCUCCAAUUGUUCUUGCAAUUAUCAGGUGUAUGUUGGUUAAUUGUUUUGAUUUGCAUUUAAUUUUAUUUUACCCUUUCGGGUUUGCACAAAUAUCUAUUUUGCAUAGUAUUUAAAUCUUUUGAUUAAGGUUUAUAUACUGUGGGUGAUUGUCAAAAUUUUAAUCUUUCAUUGAGUUUGCGAAUGUAGUGACCAAAGGGGUCAAAGAAGAUAGUUAUUUUUUCCAUCUAUUUGUGAAACUCGAUUCUGGUUUCCAUGUUAAAGUGGACUGACUUAUAAUUUCUAAUAUCAAUAUUUUCUUUUAUUUUUUAAUCUUAUAUGUGAAUAUGCAACUCAAUAUGCUAACUCAUUAUUAAAC